UGGAUUCAGAGGCUAGCUGUAAACCACUUCUUAUGAUAACAUACCUCCCUUUUUCUUAUCAUAGAGAGAAGAAAAAAUGAAAAAGGGGAAGCCGAUGCUAAAAGGGAAAUAGGGGCUUUAGACCUCUUAAACUGCUCCCUGCUGUCUAGGAGCAUUAUCAGUUUUGGGAUGUAGCUGACUUUCACCAUCCAGGCCCACUUGAUAGUUGUGUAAAAGGAACUGUUUGAUUUUUGGUUAGAAAAUAUGGUAUUUGUCUUUGAAGGAAUGUCGAAACAAGAUAAAUGAGGCAGGGAGGAAAUAGUAUCUCCAGGAAAAUGGGGAGAAGAGGCAUUAAGAAGGCAGUAUCCUAUUUCCAUAUAGGGUUUUGAAAAACCCAGGAAUUGGAGGCCUCAUGCUGUUCCCUGCAUUUCUGGAUGUCUGAUUGCAGCUGAUGGAAUGUAUUUCUUACUGCCCCAGAUUCGUUGACAUAGAAACAGCAUUCUUCCUGGUGAAACAGACAAAGACCACCUUCUUUAGCUGUCAGGACUUCUAGUCCCUGUCAGUUCUGAAGCACAACUGCUGCCAAAGAAUCGAACUUUUUCUGGAUGAUGAGCAUGGUUUCAUACAUUCACUGGAAACGGUUGCAAGCUUGGAUAAGAAUUUCUGGGAAGUCUUCGGCCCUGCUAUUCCAGUGCCAGCACCUGUAGCUACUCCUGCAGCAACCAGGAUUGGCACAACCUGCAGUGCCCUCUUAUGCUGGACAGGCCAUCACACCAACCUUGGAAUAUAGUUGGAUAGCAAAGUUAUGCAAAGAGUCCCUGAGUACUACAAGAGCUGGUCUACACAGAGAGUGUGGUCCUCCGACUUUUCAUGGGGCCUGCUUGUCUGACAGUCUAUGGAGCAUAUACUUCUGGCCUGUCCUUGGAGCGUGCUCGUCUGACUCACCAUGGAGCAUGCUUAUCUGACUAACCAUGGAGCAUGCUCCCCCACCUAUGCAUAGAAUGUGCUCUUGAGAACUUGCAUCUAUCUGCACACAGAGAAACAGAUGUGCUUUCAUUUUCCUAAGCAAAAUAACAGGAAGUAUCAUCAUUCUUGAGGUCACAGUAUUCAUAACAGGAAUGUGUGGAUAGUCACGUGAGAUCUAUUGGGAAGCAUGGUGUCUGGUUCAGUCCCUAUCUUGAGGGAGAUAAAAUAAUCUCAGUUCUCAAAUGGUGUCAGUCACCGUAAGGACCCAAUCCAAGAGGACUAAACACUUCUGUAGUCCCUUAUCAUCUGAGCUUGAAAGGGGCCUCUGCCUCUUCAGCCAGCUGGGCAGCUCACAGAAAUUCUAUCCUUGCAAACGGAGAUAUAGGUACCAGAGAAGCAGCUCUUCCCUCUGAUUAGUGGAACAGCUAUGACAGAAAUUGCCUUUUCCCCAAGACACAAAGUGACAUAUUAAAGGAGAAGCCUCUCUUUUGGUGCCAUGGAGUCAUUUAAAAAUAAAUGUAAAAACUCCAAAGAAUGUCUGUUUAAGCACAGCUGUAAUUCAGGGACACAAGACCAUUCACUUCAGCCAUCUCUCUGCCGGAUUCACUUCUUGAUCCUCAGAUUAUGUAGGAAUCAAAUCCAGUACUAUCUUUACUUUCAAAGUCAGUUUGCCUGUUUUGCUGGUGACUACAUGGUAUGUUAGAGCCUUGUACUUAUGCUUCAGUUUCCAAACCUAAUCGUGAUCAUGGGCCAGUAAUGUCGAGGACCAGGUCAUGAAAGCCCUCAUAGCUUACCCACCUGGGUAAGCUUGCAGGAAUAUUGCCAAAUGAAUGAGAGACUGAUGAAAACUGGAGAACAGUAGUGGGUGUGUUGCUAAGCAGCCUGGUAAAGAGGAUUACAAAUUAGGUCCGAUUAGUAGAAAAGGUGGGGUAAACAGUGAGAAAGACCGCUGUUCUGGGCUAGCAAAACUGGGUCCUAGUCCCAGGACGGCUUGCUUGGCUUUACUCACUCAACAAAUACUCCUCGAAUUUCUAGGCAUUUGACAGGCUCAGAAUAAGACAACAUUUCUUCUCCCAAAACAUACUGAAGGUGUCUAAUUGGAUCACAAGAGAGAUAUGGGAAGACAUUCCACCUUGGUAAGUAAACGUGGGGUAUGUGCUGAGCAAGAGGCUUCUAAAUCAAGUUGUUGUCCAGGAAAGCAUUCUGAAGACUAUUGCUUCAUGCCUUGAGGGAUACAAAGGGUCAUUUGUAGACUGGUGGAAAAAUUUGCCCACCACAGGGAACGGGACUAGUGUUGUUCUACAUCAUGAAAUGUAGGAGGUGGCAUUUGACAGCUGGUAGCAUAGCCAGAGGUGAAUAUAACCUAAGUUACGUUGGAAAGUAAAAAUGCCAUUGAGUCAGUACAAUUUGCAGUUGAAGGUAGAAGUCUAGAGUCAAGACAAAACUGGGUUUAAAGAUAAACUUUGACAUACACCAGUCACGUGACAGUAAUCACUUAAAAAACAAACAAACAAACAAACAAACCAAAAAAAAAAAAAACCAAACACUCUUCAAGUUUAGUUUCCUUAGCACAGUGUUCUCCUGAUUUGGUUAUCUAUUUAUGUCCAGCAACUCCUCUCAAAUGAAAUGCCUUAAGACAACACAUAUUUAGUAAUUCUCAGGGUCAUUAUGAAUUAAGAAUGUGUUAUGGCUUAAAUGAGGCCCUUGCUUCAAGGGUCUAUCACAUGGCUGCAACCAAAGUCAACCAUGGUUGUGGUGCUAUCUCAAGACUCCAGAAGCUCAUUUACAGGUCUCUUGGCAGAGUUUGAUUCUUGCUGGCUGGUGACCAGAGACUCUCUGGAGUUCUUUACUAUGUCUUGCCCUCCUAAGGCAGUAUAUAGCUUCCUCAGAACCAGUGGAGAUAUGGUGUUGACUGGCAAGACAGAAAGGCCAUUGAAGUGAAUUCUGAUCACUAUGGCCCCAUUCUGUUGGUCAGAAUUCACAAGCUAGCCUACCCUUCUCAGGUUGGCAGGGGUGGGUUGUUGGAGAGUAGGAGUGCAUGGGAGGAUGGGCAUUUAUACAAGAAAGAGAACACUAGGAAAUCAAGCUGUGGGGAUUCCAUCUUUGAUUUUGGUUUGCCUCUAAUUUGUAGGCUAGACCUCCAGUCAAAGUUAGAGCUAUUGUUAUGCUGAAUGGAGGAAUGCUUAGCCAGAGGAGAAAUGUUGAGCCAGAGGCAGAAUGUACGGUGGGUGGAAGAGUAAAUAAGGUUAAAUAAAUAACUAAGAGUAAAUAAGAGUAAAUAAUUUGGACAAGUCAAAUCGCCUCCUGCCUCUGAGACACCAUUUUGUCCUCAGCAAAAUGUAAAUAGUUGGUCACAGGGGGGCAAAUGAGGCAAAAAAAGUGCAAGCUUCUGUUUGUUUUCUGAGGUAGAAAACAUAGCUCUCUCCAGCUUGCAGGGACAAACUGCUCUGGGCCUUUUCUGUUGUGUUGAUUAGGAGUCUGUCAGUCUGGUAUCUUCAAGGAUUUUAGUAUUUGGCCCCUUGGAGACAAUUUUAAAGAAAUAUAUGAAAUAAUAUAUAAAUAAUUAAGAAUUACAUGGCUGGGAAAAACACAACGAGAAAGCUGGUUUUGGGAGUCCUUUAAAGUAUGUCUAAGGCUUUUUUAAAAACUACCUUUGCUUCUAAGGAUCCCGUGGCGGGUGGGCCUAGCUGAGAGAAAAUUGGCUAUACGUGGGAAAUUUCACGCUCCUGAUAUUAAAAUGGUAAUAAAAUCUCAUCCGGCUCCCAAGGCUUAGAGCAGAGGGGAUGUUUAUGGUGGAGGGGGUUCCCCAACACAGGUGCACCUCACAGGUUGUGAGGUUUCCAGCCCUACAGGGCAGCUGGGGUUAUGGACUCUGCUAGGGCAGUUCCUUCACUUUGGGAGAAAACACUCAGUUGUCCCGCCCUGGCGCCAGGCAGCUUCACUCCAGGCUUCAAUUGAAUGGUGUCACACAAAGUGGGAUUCACAGUCUGCGCUGGGGUGGUUUGCCCCAGGGAAGGUAAACAGCUGGGGAGGACAAUUCAGAGGGUGGCAGUGUCCUCCCAAAGGUUAGCCAGGGAUUGGGGAUAGGACUUGGGGGUCAGCCUUUCACAAAGGCAUGCUUCUCAGCAGGAAAUGCGGGUGGGGCUGAGCAGUCCCCGGAUAGAGACAAAGAUUCUUUGAAUCUUUAUCCGAUGGCCUGGCCUCUUUCGAGAGGGGUACCUGGGACGCCAGGGCAGGGAGAAAACUCCAGUGUGUAAUCUCAUUACCCUCCCUCGCUCUGCCAACCUAGAGCGCACAGUCGCUUAGAACCUACAGCUGCCCGCGCACUGAGUGUCCCUCCAGCCCAGGAGAUCACCUCCUGCAGCGUCAUUACCCAUACUGGAGAGUCGUGGGUAGCCCAGGAGUACUUGGGACAGCCCAGACCAGAUCCGGCCAACAGUCUCACCUUCCCAGGCUGGCUGCUCUACCAAACUACAGCAGUCUUAGGAAACCUAAUGAGAACCAGUUGUAGUAGCCGCUGGCAUACAUUCUCAGAGUCGCUGAUUGGUCAGUGGCUGAGAGCUGUAGCCAAUCAGCGCGGUUUUGGGGUCCGCAUUGCGGACCAAAGGUCCGAGUGGGCAUCUGCAGGCACAGUGGCCUGCAGAGACUCGAGGUGUGGAGGGCAGAGCCAGGGAGGAAUGAGCAUGUCUUGGGACCCCACAGCCAGGCGCCAUCACCGCCUAUCGCUGCUCCUGGUGCUCGUGCUGCUGUCACGAGCCGGGGCUCUGCGUCCUGUGGAGCUCUUUCCUUACGGGGACUUGUGGGGAGAUCUGCUGCCACAGGAGGGCGACUUUGAAAGCUCCCCGGCUGUGAAGCUAGCAGUACCUCUAUGCUUCUACGGUGUCCAGUUCAGCAACCUCUAUGUGGGCACCAAUGGCAUCAUCUCCACCCAGGACUUACCCAGGGAGACUUAAUAUGUCAUUGAUGAUUUACCUACUGACUUCCCAGCCAUUGCCCCAUUCCUGGCUGACAUCCACUCUAGUCACAGCAGUGGCUGGAUCCUGUAUGGAGGACACCUCCUGGGCUGUGCUGAGUCUGGCUGCUUGCUACCUGUGCACAGGCUUCCCGCUGACCGGGUCCAGCUUCCCCACUACCCACUUCUUCCUGGCCACCUGGGAGCAAGUGGGCGCCUAGGAGGAGGACAAGCUUGGGGCUGCAUGGUCUGGAGAGUGAGCUGCAUAGUUCUCCUAAGCAAGGAGAUGGUCUUCAUCCUCCUUACCACUUCCACCCUUGCCUACCCCAGGGACUUUCUGACAAGAGAUGAAAUUGCUUCUUGUGGCUAUGAAGUUCCAGAGGGAGAAGACUUCAUCAUGGCUACUAAGUAUCAAAGCACGACGAAAACCUGCAAGAUCACACCUUGUAACAGAAAUCCAGAGCAGACAGAGAACCAGAAGUAAGCUGCCUCAGGCUCCUGUCACCAUAGCCAGAGCUGCUCUGACUGCCCUGCCUUCCCCUCCUCCAUGAGUCCGGUGUCCUAACUGGCCACUACACACAAACCAUGGAUAAGUUGAUUUAGUCGAAUAUGUUGUCACAGCAAUGAGAAGAAUAACGAAUACCAUCAUCUCCCUGAAACGAGAAGUGCUGGCCACCUCAACAGAUUGCUGACUUUUCACAAAGCAUUCAUUCACAAGAAAGAAGUGAGUCUCUUGUAUCAUCAAAAGACCAAAGCUGUUAGAAGUCACUAUUUGUGAAGUUUCCAGGGAUGACAAGUUCAGGUUGAAAAGAGAGCAUCAAAGUUCGUUAUUCAAAAGCUCUUAAUGUUGCACAAAGCCGUUUUCACUACAUAGCCUUAAUUAAAAGUCGCCCCUUAAUUAUUUAUGUGCCACCAAGUGCUUCCAAUGAUUUCCCUAGAAGUGGCAGCUAACCUUCUGCAGAGUAGAGAGCAUUGCAUACAGUGACUCUGUGACAUUCAUUCAGACUACUCCCUGGUUCUUCCAGUCUGCCUACAACAGCAGAGAAAGGUGAGAGCUCAUGAGGACUCUGAUGAGAUUAAGAGCUACGAAAGUGCUGGUAUUUGGGGAUACUCAUUUAAGGCCCAGAGAAAUGUAAAACUCUAAGGGUUUUUUUUUGUUUGUAUUGUUUUGUUUUUGUUUUUUGAUGUUUUAAAAAGUCAACUCACAGGAGAACAAUCAGGCUGAGACUCGAACAGAUUUUAAAAAACUAAUAACAACCCUGAUGAAAGAAAAGUGAUCAAGUUAUCUAAUGCAGCCUCCUGGUGAGCAGACUGACUCUGAGGUUGCAGGAGCAACUGUCUGGCAAACUCCAGCCCUGGGCAGGUGAGCUAAGAACACUUGAGAGAGAAGGAUCCCAAUCUGGGCCAUCUCCAUAGUCUCCAAAGCAAAGAGCAAGGAUUCAUGGGAUUCUUAUAUUCCUAGCUCUUGGAGGGUGGAAGUAGGAGGAGCAAAGUGCUCAAGGUCAUCUUUGGCUACAUCAGUGUGUUUGAGGCCAGGCUGAGCUUUGUAACACCUUAUCUCAGAAAGCAAACACGCAAAGGAAAAUCACAGAAAACAAACAAAUGAGCCGCAUAGGCACUCACAACACCUCCAGCAUCCUGACAGGACAGGAGAAAUGAGCCGCAUAGACACUCACAACUCCUCCAGCAUCCUGACAGAAUGGGAGAAAUGUCUUUCCACUUUGACAUCUAUGGCAGGAAAGCUACAGGCCGUGAACUUUCACAUUUUGAUGAGCAGAUGGAAAAAUUGAGGAUGUAUUCUGGUGUCCAUGACGCAGGUCAGCCAACAUCUGUGCAGCUGCUGGUGGGAGGUGGUGGGAGAAGGCAUUGUGGGAAGCUCUGUGACCAGUGAGACUCAGGAUAGGAAAACAUCCAGUCUGUUAAACUGAAUUUUGGAUUCACAAAUCGGAGUCAAAAAAAAAAAAAAGAAAAGGAAAAAAGAAAAAAAGUGGUCAGGUUCAGGGCUUUUGGUCUUUCAGUGAUUUGAGUGCGUUCCUUGAUCCAUUUGGAGUUGAGUUGUGUUUGGGGUGAGAGAUAUCGAUCUAUUUUCAUUUCUCUGUAUGCUGCUAUUCACACCAUCUGUCUGUCAAGAUGCUGACCUUUUCACCAGUGUGUAAUUUUGUUUGCAUUGUGAAAAACAAGGUGUUUUUACCUGUAUGGAAUUACAUCUGGUUCUGAGUCUUCAAUUCUAUACAUUGACCAAUGUGUCUAUUAUUUCAAUAAUAUGCUGUUUUUUAUUACUGUAAGCUUUUUAAUACAACUUGAAAUCUGGGAAAAAAAGUUUAAAUCCACUGUAAUGACAUGUAUUCUGUGUUUUUCUACAGUUUACCAUACAAAGUUAUCCCUUCAACCAUUUCCAUGGAUAUAAAUAUCAAUAAUUUAUCAAUUAAAUUCAAAUACAUUCAUUUAAUCAAUUUCAGGUUAGUUUACCCAAUCAACUGCAAGACCUCAAUUCAAAUAUGAGGGAUGAUUCUACUACAAAAAUCAUAACUUUUGACAACUUAUGGCAUCUAUAAUUUAUUAUUUGAGUAUGUGCUUAGACAAUAUACCCUGUAAACUUAGCUUGGCUUAAAACUCAUGAACAAUAUAAUGUAACAGUUUGAUCCAGUUCUUCCAGAGAGCGCCAUGCUCCAAGAAUUAAGACUCAGACUCAAGAUAUAUUUACAAAUACCUUGACUAUAUAGUGAGGCUCUUCUCUAACUAGAUCACAAUUUAGAAUAACUGACUUAUUUUAACCUACAUUCUGUAACAUGCCCACUUAACCAUGUUCAGGUACUAUGUGUCUCUCUCCUCACGUCUUCCAAGGUGAAUCUCCUGCCGCAUUCUAUCUCAGAAUUAUGAUUUCUUCCAGAUUUCCCACUUCUUAUUUACCACCUAAAUAAUAAGCCGUCAGAUUUAUUAUUAACAAGUGCCACAGUCAUAUCGAUAUUAGAUAUUCUCUCAAUAAUCCCCCUUUGAAGUACAAUAAAUGUCUCUUUUUCAAAUAUAAAUUGAAUAAAAUUAUAAAAAUUAUAAUAGUUAUAAGGUGUGAUAUAUAUUUACAAUGUCAAGUCCAUAGUAUGUGGUAAUUAAGAAAAAUAUCUUACUAUCUAUCCUGUCCUGGUGAGUUCAGAGGUCUUGAUCUAAAUCACAUUUUAUCCUAACUUGCAUUAACAACCUAAAACCAUCUUUUUAGGUCUAAUAAAUCCUCUUAAAUAUACCAACUUAAGCUUUUAUUGAGACUAUGAUUAUCUUGUAUUCAACCCCAAAAGACAACUAAGAAGAAAUAUUUCCUGAUUAAGUAGGAAGUGCAGACAAACACUUUCAAAGUUUUAAAAAUGGCAGACAGUUGGCUGUCGAGACCACUUCAAAGUAUUCUAAGACAUUGGAGCACUGUCUUCAGCUCUCUUGUUCAAAGUAUCUGACAAACCUUAUGUGGAGCAGGGAUUACCAAGGAUUUGCUUACCCUGUAUUGGCAAAGCUUGGCAAUCAAGUUCAAUGCAUUUGUUUUCAUUUUGUUUUGUUUUCUUUUCUGGAUGGCAUUCUGUCUGCCGAUUUAGUUAGGGCACUUUCUUUGCCCUGAGGCUAGCUUGCCACAGAUGAAGACAGCUCUAAAUGGAGUUUCUUUGGAGCUCAUCAUCUUCUUCUUCUAAGUUCAAUGAGGUAUAGCUGGGAUCUGAUAUGUUUUGAAAGACCCUCAGACCGAGGAGACUCUUGCUCCAAUCCUGAGGAUACCCACCACCCCACAAACAUGUGGGACUCAGUCUUGAUGGAAAAACAAGAGGUUUACUUUGGGAUAUGAGUGCACUGGGGCUUGACACGGUCCUCACACAGGAGGAAUGUGAAGAGCCCAGACCAGCAGAAAUAUACAGCUUAUACAAUCAUUUAAGGUUACACAGUUUCAUUAGCUCAGCUAUUGUGGUGCCAAGGAUAUCUGACUAGGCAGAUGUUCUUGUUCUGGAGUUUCUGAGAAAGGGAUGCAACCAUAUCAAUACAGCCAUUUCAGUACCAAGGAUGUCUGACUUGAUAUAUUUUUUCCAUCCUGGGGUUCCCAGGACAAAGACCAAGGAUAUCUGACUUGGCAGAUGUUUCUCACCUGGUGUUCCCAGGACAAGGCUAUAGCUAUGUCAGCACAACUAUGUCAGUUCCAAGGACAUCUAACUUGAUAUAUGUUUUUCAUCCUACAGCACAAUCUAUAGUGGUCAGUCAGCUUCCCGGAGAUGUUUCUUGCCUUGUAAUUGCCCUGCAGUAAAUACGAUCUAUACCAUCUGUUUUAUGAUUGGGUAUCUUCCAAGAGAGUGGGUGGGAAUGUGCUUUCUGUACUUUCUGGUCUAUUGUCUAACAUCUAGGAUCUAAGCAAGGUACAGCUUUAAAGAUUCUCAUUCUUAACAAAUGGCUGCACCUGAUCCUUUCUUAUCACCCUGUACAAACUUAAGUCCAAGUGGAUCAAGGACCUCCACAUCAAACCAGAUACACUCAAAAUAAUAGAAGAAAAAGUGGGGAAGAAUCUGGAACACAUGGGCACUGGAGACAAUUUCCUGAAUAAAACACCAAUGACUUAUGCUCUAAGAUCAAGAAUCGACAAAUGGGAUCUAAUAAAACUGCAAGGCUUCUGUAAGGCAAAGGACUGUGUUGUAAGGACAAAAAUUCAACCAACAGAUAGGGAAAAUAUGUAUACCAAUCCUACAACUGGUAGAGGGCUUAUAUCCAAAACAUACAAAGAACUCAAGAAGUUAGACCGCAGGGAGACAAAUAAACCUAUUAAAAAAUGGGGUUCAGAGCUAAACAAAGAAUUCACAGCUGAAGAAUGCCGAAUGGCUGAGAAACACCUAAAGAAAUGUUCAACAUCUUUAGUCAUAAGGGAAAUGCAAAUCAAAACAACCCUGAGAUUCCACCUCACACCAGUGAGAAUGGCGAAGAUCAAAAACUCAAGUGAGACCAGAUGCUGGCAAGGAUGUGGAGGAAGAGGAAUACUUCUCAAUUGUUGGUGGGAUUGCAGACUGGUACAACCAUUUGGAGAUCAGUCUGGAGGUUCCUCAGAAAAUUGGAAACUACCUGAGGACCCAACUAUACCUCUCUUGGGCAUGUACCCAAAAGAUGCCCCAACAUAUAACAAAGACAUGUGCUCCACUAUAUUCAUAGCAGCCUUAUUUAUUAUAACCAGAAGCUGGAAAGAACCCAGAUGCCCUUCCACAGACGAAUGGAUAUAGAAAAUGUGGGAUAUCUACACAAUGGACUACUACUCAGCUAUCAAAAACAAUGACUUUAUGAAAUUCAUAGGCAAAGGGAUGGAACUGGAAAAUAUCAUCCUGAGUGAGGUACCCCACUUACAGAAAAACACACAUGGUAUGUACUCAUUGAUAAGUCAAUAUUAGCCCAAAUGCUUGAAUUACCCUAGAUGCACAGAAGACAUGAAUUCAAGAAGGAUGGCCAAAUGCGUAUACUUCACUCCUUAAAAGGGGAACAAGAAUACCCUUGGCAAGCAAAGUUUAGAAUAGAGACUGAAGGAGCACCCAUUCUGAGCCUGCCCCACAUGUUGCCCAUACAUAUACAGCCACCAAACUAGAUAGGAUGGAUGAGGCAAAGAAGGGCAGACUGACAGGAACCGGAUGUACAUCUCUCCUGAGAGACACAGCCAUAGUAUGGCAAAUACAUAUGCGAAUGUCAGCAGCAAACCACUGAACUGAGAACGGGACCCCCAUUGAAGGAAUCAGAGAAAGGACUGGAAGAGGUUUAAGGGGCUCGUGACCCCAUAUGAACAACAAUGCCAACCAACCAGAGCUUCCAGGGACUAAGCCACUACCGAAAGACUAUAUAUACAUGGACUGAACCUGGCCUCCAACCGCAUAGGUAGCAAUGAAUAGACUUGUAAGAGCACCAGUGGAAGGGGAAGCCCUUGGUCCUGCCAAGGUAGAACCCACAGUCUUACAUCUCAGAAAUAUCCAAACGAGAGGAGGAGGAGGAGGAAGGUGAAGAGGAGGAGGAGGAGGAGGUGGAGGAAGAGGAGGAAGAGGAGGAAGAGGAUGACGAUGCCACAACAACAACAACAACAACAACAACAACAACAACAACAACAACAACAAACAUGGAUUAAAAGUAACAUCACUAGGUCAGUUGUCAGCAUUCUCUGUCCAUGGGAUAACCAAAAGAGUUUGUCAUGAUCUCCGAAGUUACUGGACUGGCAACUACAGAGCAUCCAUUGUAUGCCGUGUCCCAUUACAUAUCACAAGUUGAAGUUUCUUCCUAUGUUUUUAGUCUUCGUAGUGGAUUGCCCAAAAUGAUCAUUUCACCCAUGUCUGAUCUGAUGAUUUUUAAAUAAUAAUUCUGUUUUCUCGCUCUCUCUGAGAGUAGUCUAUAGGCUAUUACAGUGGCUAGAGGAGGGUGAGAUUUUCCUCAAUGGUUUGCUACAGUUAAUUUGCACAUGUUCCUGUGAGAAACCCUAAUUAAAAUAAUUACCCCCCCCCCAGAAAAUGACAGAAAAGUAGAGGCGGAAUAAAAGGAAAGGUGGAGAGAGAGAAAGAGUGUGACAGGAAGAACGGAGAGGAAGGGGAAUGGAUGGGAUCAAAUUAUUAGCAUGUAUGAAAUGUAAGAUGAUGAAAUCUAUUAUUGUUUGACUCAAUACGUAAUAAUAAAAAUCUUUAAAAAUA